GCAAACUUGGUCAUUUAGAGGAAGUAAAAGUCGUAACAAGGUCUCCGUUGGUGAACCAGCGGAGGGAUCAUUACAGAGUUGCAAAACUCCCAAACCCAUGUGAACUUGCCAUAUUGUUGCCUCGGCGGGACCUACCCUGUAGUUACCCUAUAGCGCCUACCCUGUAGCUACCCUAUAGCGCCUACCCGGUAGCGGACCGCCGGUGGACCCCUAAACUCUUGUUAUUCAGUGUCUUCUGAGUGUCUUAUUUUAAAUAAGUUAAAACUUUCAACAACGGAUCUCUUGGUUCUGGCAUCGAUGAAGAACGCAGC
rnacentral:misc_RNA from 1 species